rnacentral:piRNA from 1 species
UGUAAAUGUGCCCUGCAAAUGAGCAAUGCC